UUUGCUUCUGAGCCUUGGCGGUGAAGGUUUCGUCGGGCCCGGCCCUUCUCAGAUCGCGGCUUUCUUGUGAGGCUCGUUGGCACGUGUCUUUACCGUUUCAGAAAAAUGUUCGUUGGCGGCCUGAGCUGGGAUACCAGCAAAAAGGACCUGAAGGAUUACUUUAACAAAUUUGGAGAGGUCGUUGACUGUACAAUAAAAAUGGAUUCCAACACCGGCCGGUCAAGAGGGUUUGGGUUUAUCCUCUUCAAAGACGCAGCCAGUGUGGAGAAGGUCCUAGACCAGAAGGAACACAGGCUGGAUGGCCGUGUCAUUGACCCCAAAAAGGCCAUGGCCAUGAAGAAGGACCCGGUAAAGAAAAUUUUUGUGGGGGGUCUGAAUCCUGAAGCCACUGAGGAGAAGAUUAGGGAGUACUUCCGCGAGUUUGGGGAGAUCGAGGCCAUUGAGCUUCCAAUGGAUCCAAAGUUGAACAAAAGAUGAGGCUUUGUUUUCAUCACCUUUAACGAAGAGGAACCUGUGAAGAAAGUUCUGGAGAAAAAGUUCCAUACCAUCAGUGGAAGUAAGUGUGAGAUCAAGGUUGCCCGGCCCAAAGAGGUCUAUCAGCAGCAGCAGUAUGGCUCUGGGGGCCGUGGGAGCCGCAACCGGGGGAACCGAGGCAGCGGCGGUGGCAGCGGAGGUCAGAGUCAGAGUUGGAAUCAGGGCUACGGCAGCUACUGGAACCAGGGCUACGGCUAUCAGCAGGGCUACGGGCCCGGCUAUUACGGCUACGGCCCCGGCUACGACUACAGUCAGGGCAGCACAAAUUACGGGAAGAGCCAGCGCCGCGGUGGCCACCAGAACAGCUACAAGCCAUACUGAGGCUUCGGCAGGACGCCCGACCGAUCGCACACGCUUGUUUGGAUCUCGAGUGAACACAAUUACGUACCAAAUUUAACUUGGCAUACUUUCUAUGGCCUGUCCCAUGUGCAUCUUAUUUAAAAUUUCCCCCUUGGAAAUCACUCUCCUGUUGACUAUUUCCAGAGCUCUAGUUGUUGUAGGCAGCGUGUGGGGUCUCCGAGGCCGGAGCGGCGUGAGGGGCUGACUGAUUGUAUGCCCAGGUCCCCCAGAGCCCAGCUGCCAGGGUCUGCUUCCUGCUGCCGCGCCUGGACCUGUGGACCCUGGUUGUAAAGAGUAAACUGUAUCUUAGGAAACCAGUGUCACCUUUUUUUCACCUUUUAAUUUUAUAUUAUUUGUGUCAUACAUUUCCUGUUAAUGGAAGUGUUAAUUUUACUGUACUUUUUGGUACCUUUUGGGAAUCUAAUGUAUUGUAAGGUAUUUUACACAUGUCCUGAUUUUGCCACGACCUGGAUAUUGAAGCUAUCCAAGCUUUUGAAAUAAAAAUUUAAA